CCUACGGGGGGCAGCAGUGGGGAAUAUUGCACAAUGGGGGAAACCCUGAUGCAGCGACGCCGCGUGAGUGAAGAAGUAUUUCGGUAUGUAAAGCUCUAUCAGCAGGGGAGAAAAUGACGGUACGUGAUUAAGAAGCGCCGGCGUACUACGUGCCAGCAGCCGCGGUAAUACGUAGGGGGCAAGCGUUAUCCGGAUUUACUGGGUGUAAAGGGAGCGUAGACGGCAGCACAAGUCUGGAGUGAAAUGCCGGGGCUUAACCCCGGAACUGCUUUGGAAACUGUGCAGCGAGAGUGCAGGAGAGGUAAGUGGAAUUCCUAGUGUAGCGGUGAAAUGCGUAGAUAUUAGGAGGAACACCAGUGGCGAAGGCGGCUUACUGGACUGUAACUGACGUUGAGGCUCGAAAGCGUGGGGAGCGAACAGGAUUAGAUACCCUAGUAGUC
rnacentral:rRNA from 1 species